rnacentral:rRNA from 1 species
CCUACGGGGAGCAGCAGUGAGGAAUAUUGGUCAAUGGCCGGAAGGCUGAACCAGCCAAGUCGCGUGAGGGACGACUGCCCUAUGGGUUGUACACCUCUUUUAUCAGGGAAGAAUCAAUGCUACGUUUAGCCUGAUACCUGUACCUUAUGAAUAAGCAUCGGCUAACUCCGUGCCAGCAGCCGCGGUAAUACGGAGGAUGCGAUCGUUAUCCGGAUUUAUUGGGUUUAAAGGGUGCGUAGGCUGUGAGGUAAGUCAGCGGUGAAAUUCCCCCGCUCAACGGGGUGAAGUGCCAUUGAUACUGCCUUGCUGGAAUGCGGAUGCCGUGCGAGGAAUGUGUGGUGUAGCGGUGAAAUGCAUAGAUAUCACACAGAACACCGAUUGCGAAGGCAUCUCACGAAUCCGCGAUUGACGCUGAUGCACGAAAGCGUGGGUAUCAAACAGGAUUAGAUACCCUAGUAGUC